rnacentral:tmRNA from 1 species
GGGGGCGAUCGGUUUCGACGUGGGGACUGAAAGCUCGUCUGCGUGUUGGCGGCUCCUGCUCCGCCUACCAAGCGGGACGUUAUACGUGCGAACGACAAUGCACUCGCUCUCGCGGCCUAAGAAACCGUAGAGCCGUCCAAGGGGAAGGUCGUCCUAGUACCCCAAGGGCGUCGACCACAGGGCUGGGUUGCGCGAGGGUGCCCUCGAUAGCGCGACCGAGAUCAGCGAGGGAUAGGUCGUGGCCGAAUCCACGGACCCAGCCGCCGGGGAUACGGCGGCUACACACGUGAACGAAGGUGAGCUGGAUGCCCUGCGGACCCGGGUUCGAUUCCCGGCGCCUCCACUG